GAUCCUGGCUCAGAUUGAACGCUGGCGGCAGGCCUAACACAUGCAAGUCGGAGCGGAUGAAGAGAGCUUGCUCUCUGAUUCAGCGGCGGACGGGUGAGUAAUGCCUAGGAAUCUGCCUGAUAGUGGGGGACAACGUUUCGAAAGGAACGCUAAUACCGCAUACGUCCUACGGGAGAAAGCAGGGGACCUUCGGGUCCUUGCGCUAUCAGAUGAGCCGUAGGUCGGAUUAG
rnacentral:rRNA from 1 species